GUGCUGGUUUGGGCAGCACAUAGACUAAAAUUGGAACGAUACAGAGAUUAGCCGGUCCCUGCGCAAGGAUGACACGCAAAUUCGUGGAAGCGUUCUGUAUUUAA